rnacentral:piRNA from 1 species
UUACAGCAUAUCCGCUGUUUA